ACCCAAAUAAACCGCUCAGACCUGCAUCCCUAUUGGUACAUCAAAACUGUGCCGCCAGGGCAUUUACUGGGGGGUGAACUUGGUGGCGUAGGCGAAGGCGUUGUUGGUGCCGGGGUUGGCCAGGUGGUCGGACCUGUGGAGCGGGCACGAGGAGCAUAACAUCACCGGGUAAACUAAGAUGGGAGUGCAAGUAUCAACUCGAAUUAAUGUUUAAUCCGCGUAGGUUAGCGCGGCUGGGCAUUUAUGGCAAGCAGCGUGCUGCACACACCGCGACUCAUGUUAUGUCACCCUAGGCCCCCAUCCCUACUCACAGGUUCUGCAGGGGGCCCUUGCCGGUCACGAUGGCCUGAACGAAGAAGCCGAACAUGGAGAACAUGGCCAGGCGGCCGUUCUUGAUCUCCUUCACCUUCAGCUCAGCGAAGGUGUCGGGGUCGUCAGCCAGGCCCAGGGGGUCGAACGAGCCACCGGGGUACAGCUUGUCCUGCAACGCGGAGGGAGCAAGGGUGGGCAAUGAUGCCAUGCACAACGUCCACGAACCGUGCAUUGCUACUGACGCAACCAGACAACACAAACCGAAACUGUCCCAUGUGUUUUGAGGGAAGCUUCCCUUCACAGCGAACCGCACUCACCAGGCCCUCGCCCAGGGGGCCGCCGUUGACGCGGUAGCCCUCAAUGGCGCCCAUCAGCAGCACCUGGGUGCCCAGGAUGGCCAGGAUGGACUGGGCGUGCACCAGGUUGGGGUUGCCCAGGUAGUCCAGACCGCCCUCCUGGAAGAUCUGAGCACCAGCCUUGAACCACACGGCCUCGCCGAAGGGCACGCCGUAGGAGCCCAGCAGCUCGGGGAAGAUGCAGCCCAGAGCGCCGAGCAUGGCCCAGCGGGCGUGGAUCAGCUCCAGCUCGCGGUAGCGCUUGAAGGUCUCCGGGUCAGCGGACAGACCGGCGGUGUCCCAGCCGUAGUCACCUGGAAAGCAAGUAAGGGUGUGUGGGAGGGGCAAUUUAGGAUAGAGCAUCACCAACCAGCUGCUGGACAGCGCUCCAUGUCCUGAAGGCUUCGCCAGCCCGAGCUAGAGAUCCCUUGCCGCAUGUGCAAAUCGCAGUUGCCCGAUCGCCAUGCGUCGGACUUGGACUAUCUGUAGUGACUGUGCUGCAAGAGCGACCGUGCGACACUGUUGCGCAUGCGAACGCCCAGAACCCCGCGACACAGAAAGACUUACCGGGGAACUCGCCAGUCAGGUAGCUCGGGGGCUCGCCAGUGAAGGCGCCCAGGAACAGGGGGCGCUCAGGGCCAUACCAGAAGCUGCAAGCAAAGGGCCAUCGCGAAAGGGUUCAGACGUCAAGAGCUUGAUACAGUGAAAUCGGCAGGCCGCAUUGUAGACAUGGAGCUGUAUUCUUUGCCACUGGUGGCAGCUCACCAGACAGGAAGCGCAAGUCAGGGAAAGAGGAUCCCCAUGCCGGAGUGGCCAGUUCCGGCAGUCGUGCCCUGUCAUUCCCCCUGCAAAUCUUCCCCAGAGCACUUCAUUGGCGAGCUACACACCUGUCCGGGGUGGACGCCUUGGAGGCGGGCUUCACGGUGCGGCGCGCCUCGACCUUGACGGUCGAGCGGCGAGACACCGCGGCGCGAGCGGAGGACUUGGCAAGGGCGAAGGCCAUUUUGACUGGUGGGAGUAACUUCUGUUGAAAUCACUGUCUGAACACGGUUGGGGCUGAGUAUUUAAGGCGUCCAGGCUCGGGGUCGUACGGCUUGCCGAUCGAGAUCGGGGUGCCAUCUGCGCCCUCUCGCGAAUCCGUCGCUUGGCGCUCGCUGGCGCGCGUCUGGCACAUCGGAUAAUCUUGAAAGCCCAUGCAAAACCUAGCGCACGCUCGGGCGGGUCGCUUCCGCCCAGAAAUGGAGCAAAACCGAUGGAAAGGCGCGAAGGUCAUGUGAGGGGCCCUUGCGCAGAGCGCGUGGCAAGGAGAAAAUCUAUGCGCAGCGGAUAGACCACAAAUCACUUGUAGCACUGAAAGCGACCGCGUGCUGAGAUAGCGCCUGGCUGGAAAGCGGCAGUCGAUGUGGCGCAUGUCGACGGAUGUCGGAACUCCGGCUGGUUGUGCUUAGCUUGGUUAGGAGCUCCAGGCGCUGCACGGGGGUGGUGUUUAAAUAAUCAAAUCGCCGUCUUGAUUCAGUUGCGGUAAGCGUGAGGUGCUGGCGAGGUGGGAAGGGGCGCAGGGGCGCUUCGCUGGCAAAGCCUGGCCUCUUUGCGGUUGUGGUAGCUGGAGGCAGAUGCAGGUUGCACUGUGGCAGCGAGCCAGCGGUGCGUCAGUGUGGUCUGUGGGUUGGCGUGUGUUGGGGGGAAAUAGUGGCGCAGCUAGAUGUAGUGACGCCUGUGGCACGGCCUGUGGCCCUGUGUGGCCCUGUGUGGCCCAUGACAUGGCCCGUGCGUCUAUGGCGACACGCCGACCCUCGCCGGCCUGCCCCGCCCAACGAUGGUACUGGCAGCGCAUCUCUUGACACUUGCACUGAAACGUUGUCAUUGAUACUACGUCAAGCGGCAGCAUCGGGAUGAUCGGUCUAUGCACCAGGCAGGGCUUGCAUCUGCCAGGGGUACCGUACGCGGCCGCCGCUAGCGAGAGGGACCCGGUCCCUGGCCCGAACCGUUUCCUCGCCCACGGCAUCCAGGGCCCCCAAAAGCCUAGAUUUUGGCGUUUGGCUCCGCG
rnacentral:lncRNA from 1 species